AUUGAACGCUGGCCGCAGGCUUAACACAUGCAAGUCGAGCGGGGGGAGGUAGCUUGCUACCGGACCUAGCGGCGGACGGGUGAGUAAUGCUUAGGAAUCUGCCUAUUAGUGGGGGACAACAUCUCGAAAGGGAUGCUAAUACCGCAUACGUCCUACGGGAGAAAGCAGGGGAUCUUCGGACCUUGCGCUAAUAGAUGAGCCGAAGUCGGAUUAGCUAGUUGGUGGGGUAAAGGCCUACCAAGGCGACGAUCUGUAGCGGGUCUGAGAGGAUGAUCCGCCACACUGGGACUGAGACACGGCCCAGACUCCUACGGGAGGCAGCAGUGGGGAAUAUUGGACAAUGGGGGGAACCCUGAUCCAGCCAUGCCGCGUGUGUGAAGAAGGCCUUAUGGUUGUAAAGCACUUUAAGCGAGGAGGAGGCUACUUUAGUUAAUACCUAGAGAUAGUGGACGUUACUCGCAGAAUAAGCACCAGCUAACUCUGUGCCAGCCGCCGCAGUAAAAC
rnacentral:rRNA from 1 species